rnacentral:misc_RNA from 1 species
AGUGUGCUCGCGGUGUCCACU